AAGUCCCCUUCGGGGGACAAGUAGAGUGGCGCACGGGUGAGUAACACGUAGGUAAUCUACCUUCGGAUGGGGAAUAACAGCCGGAAACGGCUGCUAAUACCGCAUGAUGCAGCGGCACCUCAUGGUGACAGUUGUUAAAGCGGGGGAUUCUUCGGAACCUCGCGCCUGAAGAGAAGCUCGCGGCAGAUUAGCUAGUUGGUAGGGUAACGGCCUACCAAGGCAACGAUCUGUAGCCGGCCUGAGAGGGCGGUCGGCCACACUGACACUGACACACGGGUCAGACUCCUACGGGAGGCAGCAGUCGGGAAUUUUGGGCAAUGGGCGAAAGCCUGACCCAGCAACGCCGCGUGAAGGAUGAAGUAUUUCGGUAUGUAAACUUCACAAGAAUGGGAAGAAUAAGUCGGGGUUAAUACCCCCGAUGAUGACGGUACCAUUUGUAAGCUCCGGCUAACUCCGUGCCAGCAGCCGCGGUAAUACGGGGGGAGCAAGCGUUGUUCGGAUUUACUGGGCGUAAAGGGCGCGUAGGCGGCGCAACAAGUCACUUGUGAAAUCUCCGGGCUUAACCCGGAGCGGUCAAGUGAUACUGUCGUGCUAGAGUGCGGAAGGGGCAACUGGAAUUCUCGGUGUAGCGGUGAAAUGCGUAGAUAUCGAGAGGAACACCUGCGGCG
rnacentral:rRNA from 1 species